rnacentral:lncRNA from 1 species
CCGAAACUCUUCUUUCUUUUUCACUCUUCGAAUCCAGCAAUCACAAGUCCAUUGUACAGCUCUUGCAGAAGGUCAAUAAAGGGUUUCCAGUUCCUGUAAAACCUAUCAACUGUCUUAUUUCUCAAAAGAUUUGUCAGUUUGUCCAUCUCGGCAAGCUCCAUCAUUUUGCCUGCCCUUUGAUCUUCAACCUUCAGCAAAGAGCCUUAUAACAAUUCAUGAAAAAAAGUGCAUGUAUGAAUAAAAAUCCAACAGCAUCAGCAGAGCCAUGCAGAAGUCUUUUUGAAGGUGCCUAAUAAUAACUGCUUCCAUCAAAUUAGAACACAAGAGCAGCCCUGCUGGAUCAGGCCACAGCUCAUUAAGUCCUCCAUCCUGUCUCACACAGCGGCCCACCAGUUCCUUCUGGGCAUUCUCAAGCAGAGGACAAAGGCAAUACCUUCACCUGCUCUCAACUCCCUGCAAAUAGCCUCUAGAGCCAUCCUGCCUGUCUGGGCAUCAAUUCUGCUAGC